AGAAGAGGAGACGGAAGAAGAAGAAGAAGAAGAAACAACAGCAACUGUUGGGUCGGUAUUGACGAGAAACAAGCGCCUAUUUCCUGGUUUCUUUUUGUUGGUAUUUGUUUUAUUCGUUGCACCGAUUGGUUCACUCGAGUGCUGGCUUGUCAUGACGUGCGCUCGACCCUGCUAACCGGUCACCACCAUUGCCUGCCGUUAUGGAGGAGCGAAAACUGAAGAGAAAGAGCCCCAGGACCCCCACUACCCCAGCGGCGUCGGCCACGGUGACUGUGGCAACGCCGACUCCCACCAGCGGCUCUGCUCGGAAAGUCGGUGCUUCAAUCGGGGGGAAACAUGUCGGCUGCAGCCACGGCACGGGCCCCCAUUCGAGCCAGAAGAGCAAGAAUAAAAGGGGAGUUCGUGACAAAACCAAGUAUCAAAUGGGUCCCAGUGUUCGUCCCAGCCCAAAUCAGAACCAGGUGGCACCCAUCAUUCAGCACUCGUUCUUGACGGAUGUCUCUGACGUGCAGGAGAUGGAGAAUGGACUUCUCAGCCUUCUCAAUGACUUCCAUUCAGGGAAACUGCAAGCUUUUGGUAAUGAGUGCUCCAUUGGGCAGAUGGAGCAUGUGCGGGAGAUGCAGGAAAAGUUGGCCCGCUUACACUUUGACCUGUAUGGUGAGGAGGACGAAAUGCCAGACGACCAGAGAAAAACAGCCCGGGAUACCAACAUGGACAAGUUGCUUCUGAAUCCAGAAACUAAAUCUGACCGACAGCCAGGAGAUUCCGAGGUCUGCCAGCAUGUGAAUGCCUCUCUGCCAGACGUUGCCAGAAACCCGCUUAUUGCCCGUGAAAGGCAAAAACAAAAUGCGAUGCGCCUAAUGAAGGCGCUGCCAAUCUAAUAUUACUAAACAUCAAGAUCCUCGUAGUUUAGGCACUAUAUAUCAUUUUAUCUGACUGGUCACCAGCAUCUAUUUCUUGUUCUAGACCAUGUCCUGUAAGAGGAAGUGCAACGUUCUAACCAAAUAACUUAACAGAUCGUUUGGCUGCAAAUAAUUGUAUGGCACUCUGUUGCACUUUAUAUCUUCAGACCCAUCAGUGUGUAAUCAAACAGAUUUAUCAAAUUGUAGUUACAAUGUGAAAAAAAAGUUUAACCAUUUUCAGCAUCAAGAUUAAAUCGUUUGUGUCCACACAUUUGCUUCCUAUUUGGCUGCAAGCAGUCCAGUAACCCAAAUAUUGAUGUCACUACCACGCCUUAAUUUCUUAUGGGGUAAUUAAAGCUUUAUUGGUUGAAA